GACGAACGCUGGCGGCGGGCUUAACACAUGCAAGUCGAACGGAAAGGCCCUGCUUUUGUGGGGUGCUCGAGUGGCGAACGGGGGAGUAACACGUGAGUAACCUGCCCUUGACUUUGGGAUAACUUCAGGAAACUGGGGCUAAUACCGGAUAGGAGCUGCUGCUGCAGGGUGGGGGGUGGAAAGUUUCGGCGGUUGGGGAUGGACUCGCGGCUGAUGAGCUUGUUGGUGGGGUAGUGGCUUGCCAAGGCUUUGACGGGUAGCCGGCCUGGGAGGGUGACCGGCGUCCUUGGGCCUGCGAUAGGGCCCAGUGUCCUACGUGGGGCAACAGUGGGAAGUCUUGCCCAGUGGGCGGAAGCCUGAUGCAGCAACGCCGCGUGCGGGAUGCCGGCCUUCGGGUUGUGAACAGCUUUCGCCUAUGACGCCGCGUGACUGACGGUACUGGGUGAAGAAGCACCGGCUAACUACGUG
rnacentral:rRNA from 1 species